rnacentral:rRNA from 1 species
UGCCAGCCGCCGCGGUAAUACGGAGGGGGCUAGCGUUGUUCGGAAUUACUGGGCGUAAAGCGCGCGUAGGCGGUUUAGCAAGUUGAAGGUGAAAUCCCGGGGCCCAACCCCGGAACUGCCUCCAAAACUGGCGAACUUGAGUACGGGAGAGGAAAGUGGAAUUCCGAGUGUAGGGGUGAAAUCCGUAGAUAUUCGGAGGAACACCAGUGGCGAAGGCGGCUUUCUGGACCGAUACUGACGCUGAGACGCGAAAGCGUGGGGAGCAAACAGGAUUAGAUA